rnacentral:rRNA from 1 species
UACGUAGGGUGCAAGCGUUGUCCGGAAUCAUUGGGCGUAGAGAGCGUGUAGGCGGCUCGAUUAGUCCGCUGUAAAAGUCCAGGGCUCAACCCUGGGAUGCCGGUGGAAACUGUCGGGCUAGAGUCCGGGAGAGGCGAGUGGAAUUCCUGGUGUAGCGGUGAAAUGCGCAGAUAUCAGGAGGAACACCAAUGGCGAAGGCAGCUCGCUGGAACGGUACUGACGCUGAGACGCGAAAGCGUGGGGAGCAAACAGG